rnacentral:siRNA from 1 species
CCAUUUUCGGGUUCCCUAGUG